UGCAGAUUAAUUUACAUUUGCAGAUUAAUUUCUAAAAGUAUUCGCCAGUUUAACUCAUCUAAAAUUACCAGGAUUUUAUGAUAUAACAAAAAUGUGAGAUAAUAAACGCUGAACAAAUCUGCAUCUCAAGACUGCCGCUGUUUUUAGUACACGAGGAGGGGUUAUGGGCAGAGGGAAGUUGGUUACAACAUGCUGCUGACACUACAAGGAUUCUGGACCGUUGCUCUCUACUUCGGUCUAUUAGGUAUAAUAUGGUUACCACGUUACUACGUGAUUCCGACCAAACUGAGGUUGUGGCCUUCUUACUGGCUGUAUAGCACCUUCUCCACCAACACUCUGCCACCUCUCA